rfam:Phytophthora infestans T30-4 supercont1.152 genomic scaffold, whole genome shotgun sequence.
UCCCAAAUAGUCUAGGCGGUUAGGAUACGUGGCUUUCACCCACGCGACCCGGGUUCGAGUCCCGGUUUGGAAA